UGGCACUGGUGGACCUCAGAAUGCAGAU
rnacentral:piRNA from 1 species